UACGGAGGAUGCAAGCGUUAUCCGGAAUGAUUGGGCGUAAAGCGUCCGCAGGUGGCUAUGUAAGUCUGCUGUUAAAGAGUGAGGCUCAACCUCAUAAGAGCAGUGGAAACUACAUAGCUAGAGUGCGUUCGGGGCAGAGGGAAUUCCUGGUGUAGCGGUGAAACGCGUAGAUAUCAGGAAGAACACCGGUGGCGAAAGCGCUCUGCUAGGCCGCAACUGACACUGAGGGACGAAAGCUGGGGGAGCGAAUGGG
rnacentral:rRNA from 1 species